CUGCUAUAUGAUGGUGUAGUGGAGGGGGGCAGAAGCAGCCCCUGCACUGCUAUAUGAUGGUGUAGCCCAAUACGCCAUUAAUGAGCCAGAAGCUCAUGGGCUGCAGUCUAGUGAAGGAUCACACAAGGCCUGCAAAGUACACUGGUAUGUAUUUAUAAAUUAUACAAUUAUACACACACACUAAAAUGUGUGGUUCUGUUUAUGUACUACUCUCUUUUUUGUUGUCUCUCUGUUUAAGGGGGUCGAGUACCUCUUCUCCCAGACCCAUGGUGACCAGAGGCUGGAAUCCAACCUCGGCAGAGCAGGCAACAGAUGGCACACAGACAGCAGAGUUGGGGACAGAUAUGCAGAGACAGGGAGUCUCAGGAAUUGCUCUUGAGAAAAUUUCAUGUAAUUGUCCCCUCCAAAGUGGAUAUCAGAUUUUCGCCCCUGACUCCACCGCCCACUGAGCUCACUCAACCCAACCCAUCCCAGCUACCUGUCAACCCAUCCCAGCUAGCUACCAACUGCUCUAUUUUAUGAUGACACUACGGAGGAGGUGGACACUGCAUUCGCUGCCGAUCAGGACACGGAGGAUGAUGAGUACAUAGGACCUGAUGGGGUUAGUGGAUACCAGCACGUGGUCCUCCUUGCCAAGAGUCUGCUCCCUGCUUGGCUAAGGCUCUGGACCUGCUCAGUGGCCCAACACCAGCAGGACAGUAGAGGCCAUUUUCAUUGAGCUGUGCCACAAACACCCUGCUGGCAAGACGAUGCUUGGAAACCGGGUUAACAGGUUACCAUCCUGGGGGAUUACAGGAGAAUCAGAACCAUGGUGCUGGUCAGCCCAAACCUGAAUACCCACACAAGGCUGCAACUGUUCCAGGUCAACAAGUUGACCUUGACACAGUGGUACAACAAACGGAUAUCCUCCAUGUAGAGAGUGACUCUGCACCAGACCAGAGGGAGGAGUCAGUCCCCUUCCACCCUGCAGUCAGGAGCACAGCACCGCUGCCAGCCCCAUCAUCCAGCAGCACCUACCAGCUUCCAGAGGACAGAACGGGGCAGGCUACACAGCGUGGCAGAGCAGCCACUCCUACCAUCACCCAGUCUGCCUACCUACCUUCCUCCCUAAUUCUCCAGUCUCCCAAGACCUGCCCUCGACCUGCACUCCUCUACCCCCUCCUGCUGGUGGACCCAAGGUCUCCAGGACCACCGAAUGGAGGAGGAGGAAGAGGUUGUAGUCUGGGACGUACGAAGGAUACAACUGCUCUAAAUUACUCUUUUUUUUUUUAUGGCAUUCAUCUUCAUUCACCUUAACUUGUACAUACAUCUCUUGUAUAUUUAUUUAUUUAAUGGGACAUUUACUUAACUAGGCAAGUCAGUUAAGAACAAAUUCUUAUUUACAAUGACGGCCUACACCGGCAAAACCCGGACGACGCCCUAUGGGACUCCAAAUCACGGACUUGUACAGUGGGUGUAGGGGACAUCAUGUUGUGUUGGGAACACAUGUACAGUGGGUGUAGGGGACAUCAUGUUGUGUUGGGAACACAUGUACAGUGGGUGUAGGGGACAUCAUGUUGUGUUGGGAACACAUGUACAGUGGGUGUAGGGGACAUCAUGUUGUGUUGGGAACACAUGUACAGUGGGUGUAGGGGACAUCAUGUUGUGUUGGGAACACAUGUACAGUGGGUGUAGGGGACAUCAUGUUGUGUUGGGAACACAUGUACAGUGGGUGUAGGGGACAUCAUGUUGUGUUGGGAACACAUGUACAGUGGGUGUAGGGGACAUCAUGUUGUGUUGGGAACACAUGUACAGUGGGUGUAGGGGACAUCAUGUUGUGUUGGGAACACAUGUACAGUGGGUGUAGGGGACAUCAUGUUGUGUUGGGAACACAUGUACAGUGGGUGUAGGGGACAUCAUGUUGUGUUGGGAACACAUGUACAGUGGGUGUAGGGGACAUCAUGUUGUGUUGGGAACACAUGUACAGUGGGUGUAGGGGACAUCAUGUUGUGUUGGGAACACAUGACAUUCCCUGUGACAAUCAAUAAUAAUUGAAUUCAAGUUAAUUGAAUAAAUUUUUUAAAUAAAAGCACUUUUUCUCCCUUGAAA